UACGUAGGGACCGAGCGUUGUCCGGAAUCAUUGGGCGUAAAGAGCGUGUAGGCGGCUAUUUAAGUCCUGCGUGAAAUCCUGCGGCUCAACCGCAGACGGUCGUGGGAAACUGGAUGGCUAGAGUGCGGGAGAGGAGAGUGGAAUUCCCGGUGUAGCGGUGAAAUGCGCAGAUAUCGGGAAGAACACCCGUGGCGAAGGCGGCUCUCUGGACACGAUUGACGCUGAGGUGCGGAAAGCGUGGGGAGCAACAGGG
rnacentral:rRNA from 1 species